UACAGAGGUCUCAAGCGUUGAUCGGAUUCAUUGGGCGUAAAGGGUGCGUAGGCGGCGUGGUAAGUCGGAUGUGAAAUCUCGGAGCUUAACUCCGAAACUGCAUUCGAUACUGCCGUGCUUGAGGACUGGAGAGGAGACUGGAAUUUACGGUGUAGCGGUGAAAUGCGUAGAUAUCGUAAGGAAGACCAGUGGCGAAGGCGGGUCUCUGGACAGUUCCUGACGCUGAGGCACGAAGGCCAGGGGAGCAAACGGG
rnacentral:rRNA from 1 species